rnacentral:rRNA from 1 species
AUUGAACGCUGGCGGCAUGCUUUACACAUGCAAGUCGAACGGUAACAGGUUAAGCUGACGAGUGGCGAACGGGUGAGUAAUGUAUCGGAACGUGCCCAGUCGUGGGGGAUAACGUAGCGAAAGCUACGCUAAUACCGCAUACGAUCUAUGGAUGAAAGCGGGGGAUCGCAAGACCUCGCGCGAUUGGAGCGGCCGAUAUCAGAUUAGGUAGUUGGUGGGGUAAAGGCCUACCAAGCCGACGAUCUGUAGCUGGUCUGAGAGGACGACCAGCCACACUGGGACUGAGACACGGCCCAGACUCCUACGGGAGGCAGCAGUGGGGAAUUUUGGACAAUGGGCGCAAGCCUGAUCCAGCAAUGCCGCGUGCAGGAUGAAGGCCUUCGGGUUGUAAACUGCUUUUGUACGGAGCGAAAAGGCUUCCACUAAUACUGGGGGCUCAUGACGGUACCGUAAGAAUAAGCACUGGCUAACUACGUGCCAGCCGCCGCGGUAA